rnacentral:rRNA from 1 species
GAUGAACGCUGGCGGCGUGCCUAAUACAUGCAAGUCGAGCGAACGGACGAGAAGCUUGCUUCUCUGAUGUUAGCGGCGGACGGGUGAGUAACACGUGGAUAACCUACCUAUAAGACUGGGAUAACUUCGGGAAACCGGAGCUAAUACCGGAUAAUAUUUUGAACCGCAUGGUUCAAAAGUGAAAGACGGUCUUGCUGUCACUUAUAGAUGGAUCCGCGCUGCAUUAGCUAGUUGGUAAGGUAACGGCUUGCCAAGGCAACGAUGCAUAGCCGACCUGAGAGGGUGAUCGGCCACACUGGAACUGAGACACGGUCCAGACUCCUACGGGAGGCAGCAGUAGGGAAUCUUCCGCAAUGGGCGAAAGCCUGACGGAGCAACGCCGCGUGAGUGAUGAAGGUCUUCGGAUCGUAAAACUCUGUUAUUAGGGAAGAACAUAUGUGUAAGUAACUGUGCACAUCUUGACGGUACCUAAUCAGAAAGCCACGGCUAACUACGUGCCAGCAGCCGCGGUAAUACGUAGGUGGCAAGCGUUAUCCGGAAUUAUUGGGCGUAAAGCGCGCGUAGGCGGUUUUUUAAGUCUGAUGUGAAAGCCCACGGCUCAACCGUGGAGGGUCAUUGGAAACUGGAAAACUUGAGUGCAGAAGAGGAAAGUGGAAUUCCAUGUGUAGCGGUGAAAUGCGCAGAGAUAUGGAGGAACACCAGUGGCGAAGGCGACUUUCUGGUCUGUAACUGACGCUGAUGUGCGAAAGCGUGGGGAUCAAACAGGAUUAGAUACCCUGGUAGUCCACGCCGUAAACGAUGAGUGCUAAGUGUUAGGGGGUUUCCGCCCCUUAGUGCUGCAGCUAACGCAUUAAGCACUCCGCCUGGGGAGUACGACCGCAAGGUUGAAACUCAAAAGAAUUGACGGGGACCCGCACAAGCGGUGGAGCAUGUGGUUUAAUUCGAAGCAACGCGAAGAACCUUACCAAAUCUUGACAUCCUUUGACAACUCUAGAGAUAGAGCCUUCCCCUUCGGGGGACAAAGUGACAGGUGGUGCAUGGUUGUCGUCAGCUCGUGUCGUGAGAUGUUGGGUUAAGUCCCGCAACGAGCGCAACCCUUAAGCUUAGUUGCCAUCAUUAAGUUGGGCACUCUAAGUUGACUGCCGGUGACAAACCGGAGGAAGGUGGGGAUGACGUCAAAUCAUCAUGCCCCUUAUGAUUUGGGCUACACACGUGCUACGAUGGACAAUACAAAGGGCAGCGAAACCGUGAGGUCAAGCAAAUCCCAUAAAGUUGUUCUCAGUUCGGAUUGUAGUCUGCAACUCGACUACAUGAAGCUGGAAUCGCUAGUAAUCGUAGAUCAGCAUGCUACGGUGAAUACGUUCCCGGGUCU